GAUGAACGCUGGCGGCGUGCCUAAUACAUGCAAGUCGAGCGAACGGACGAGAAGCUUGCUUCUCUGAUGUUAGCGGCGGACGGGUGAGUAACACGUGGAUAACCUACCUAUAAGACUGGGAUAACUUCGGGAAACCGGAGCUAAUACCGGAUAAUAUUUUGAACCGCAUGGUUCAAAAGUGAAAGACGGUCUUGCUGUCACUUAUAGAUGGAUCCGCGCUGCAUUAGCUAGUUGGUAAGGUAACGGCUUACCAAGGCAACGAUGCAUAGCCGACCUGAGAGGGUGAUCGGCCACACUGCAACUGAGACACGGUCCAGACUCCUACGGGAGGCAGCAGUAGGGAAUCUUCCGCAAUGGGCGAAAGCCUGACGGAGCAACGCCGCGUGAGUGAUGAAGGUCUUCGGAUCGUAAAACUCUGUUAUUAGGGAAGAACAUAUGUGUAAGUAACUGUGCACAUCUUGACGGCACCUAAUCAGAAAGCCACGGCUAACUACGUG
rnacentral:rRNA from 1 species